GCGCUUGUACGCGAACAAGUGACUCGACGUGCAUCGAAGGACAUUGACGCAGCCGCCUAGCGCGUAGCCUUCGCUACCACGGUCGCUCCAACGGUAUACGCGCGCUCUGAUUGGUCGGGAUUUUUUCUUAAUAUCUCCUUAACGAAGCCCCAUCUGACAUUUUUGCAAAGGAAAUUGUUGCUCAGAAUCGUCUCAGCUACUCCCCAUUUCCAGCUACUACGCGAGUUUUGGGACACCCUGUACACUGAUAGGUUUCUCUGAACGUAUGUCCAGAGUAUACGUGCACAGCACUCAAUUGGUAAAACGAAAAAAAAAGGUUAAACCAUUGUAAUUGAAGAGAUAAAAGAUAAAUCUUAAGCGCAUGGAAUGGUUUAGUUUUAUCGAUUUUUGUUUGCGCGUGAUCUGAAAUAAUCGGAAAACCAAUUUGUAGGAAACUAACGUUAAUAUUUAAAAUUAUUCAUCACGUUGCCAAUAAUAAAACGAAUGCUGAAUCAAAGCUAACAUAAUGAGGUUUAGUAAAAUUCUGUGCCAUUGUCGUUUCCGUUUUACUAUAUAAGGAUAAAAGUACACAUAAAUAUGUAGAGAUCUCCCUUCGUCUUUUUCUACCGUUAACUCGGGAUAAUGAAAUAAUUUAACGGAUAAAAUUGAAAGUGUAAUCAUCGAAGUGUCAAAAACAAAUAUUGCGUACGAAAUUCGACGGUGUCCUUUCUUUAUAGACGAAAGAGAAUAUCAUGUGCAAAUUACGUUCACGCAUGAAAUGUCCUCAAGAUUGAAACUCCUCAAGAUUGAUAACGCUAUGUUCAAACGCGUAUCGAUUAGAAGAGACGGCCAAACAGUGCCAAACAGAGGUAUCGGACGAAGUCCGGACGAAGGGAAGAAAGCAAUUAAACCCGAACGUUCGAGUGUCAGGGCUAUUUCUUUUACUUGGUGCCUUUGGCGUCGUCGGAUCGAGAUUUGUUCGGGGAUCGUCUUUCAUUAUCUUGUAAAAAGUGAAAGCUAUCAUUGAAGCGAGCGUAGUUUGCAAAUAGCGAGAGUCUCCCAUGUUCAUCGACGUCGCGAGAACUGAUGACGAUUGAACUUUGCGUAAGGGUUUCCCAUUCGUUGUCGUGACGCAGCUAACCAGAUUCUACCCUCACGUUCGUUUCGCUACUCUGUUGUAAACGAGGAACGAAUCGUGUUCCUCGUUUUAACGAUAUAUAAUGCAUCAUCGUCAUCGUCAAAGAAUGUAUCAUCUAUUUUCAUAGAGCGUUAAAGCCGCACGACGAAUUAUUGUACGGGUGUGAAUCGUUGUCACCAUUUGCUCUUCGGAUUACGGGCAUGACAAAUGGUUUUGUUUACGGAAAAUUGCUGCGAUGUUGUACGAUAUUAUUCCCGAUGGGUUCUCGGGUGUGAGUGACCGGUUGAAGGCAAGGGAGAGGAGAGGACGGUAGCUCACCGUCACUGCCUGCAGCGUUUUGGUUGUGCUGAGAAUAUAUGCGGGUCUUGGCACCGCUGGACUCUGCGUGGUGUCGCAAUCGUUUAUAAAGAGAGCGAGAGAGAGAGAGGGAAGAAAAAGAAUUGCUUCUUUUGUUAAGUUUUCGAACAUUAUUAUUGAUAACACGGUUUACAUUAUAUUGAUUAACGCGUGUAUGAUACGUAGAUACGAAGAAUUACAUUACAACAUAUUAUUGAGAUCUUUGCCACUUACGACGACUGAUGAGCAGACUACGCGAAUUCUUUCUAUGCGUAAAUCGUUCGUUGCGUCGAUUAUAGACAUAUACUUCCGCUGUUUGUUUUUACACGAUAAAAGGAAAUGAAGGAUCAUGCAUAAUAAUUCAUUGUAAACUCGAAAGGUGUCAUCGUGAGGAUUUCCGCGUCAGUGACCAUGCGCGAAAUGUUUCCACAAUUUUCGACCGUUGGAAACGAAUGUUGAUUCGAAUUAUUUUAAACAAUUGAGCAAUUUCGAUUGGAUAAAGCAUAUGGGCUAGAAUUGACAAGAUUUUGUUACAAAUGAAGAAUACAAAUUCGAGAGUUAUUCGCGAAAUUAAAAACAACUGAAACCUUGAAA